CACGGGGGGAGCAAGCGUUGUUCGGAUUUACUGGGCGUAAAGGGCGCGUAGGCGGCCUCCGCAAGUCAGUUGUGAAAUCUCCGAGCUUAACUCGGAAAGGUCAACUGAUACUGCGGGGCUAGAGUGCGGAAGGGGCAACUGGAAUUCUUGGUGUAGCGGUGAAAUGCGUAGAUAUCAAGAGGAACACCUGCGGCGAAGGCGGGUUGCUGGGCCGACACUGACGCUGAGGCGCGAAAGCUAGGGGAGCGAACGGG
rnacentral:rRNA from 1 species